GACGAACUGUCCUAACGCUGUUCGGAAUCACUGGGCUUAAAGGGCGCGUAGGCGGUCGAUCAAGUCAGGGGUGAAAUCCUGCAGCUUAACUGUAGAAGUGCCUUUGAUACUGGUCGUCUCGAGGGAGGUAGGGGUGUGUGGAACUUCCAGUGGAGCGGUGAAAUGCGUUGAUAUUGGAAGGAACGCCGGAGGCGAAAGCGACGCACUGGACCUCUUCUGACGCUGAGGCGCGAAAGCUAGGGGAGCAAACGGG
rnacentral:rRNA from 1 species